GAUGAACGCUGGCGGCGUGCCUAAUACAUGCAAGUCGAGCGAACGGACGAGAAGCUUGCUUCUCUGAUGUUAGCGGCGGACGGGUGAGUAACACGUGGAUAACCUACCUAUAAGACUGGGAUAACUUCGGGAAACCGGAGCUAAUACCGGAUAAUAUUUUGAACCGCAUGGUUCAAAAGUGAAAGACGGUCUUGCUGUCACUUAUAGAUGGAUCCGCGCUGCAUUAGCUAGUUGGUAAGGUAACGGCUUACCAAGGCAACGAUGCAUAGCCGAUCUGAGAGGGUGAUCGGCCACACUGGAACUGAGACACGGUCCAGACUCCUACGGGAGGCAGCAGUAGGGAAUCUUCCGCAAUGGGCGCAAGCCUGACGGAGCAACGCCGCGUGAGUGAUGAAGGUCUUCGGAUCGUAAAACUCUGUUAUUAGGGAAGAACAUCUGUGUAAGUAACUGUGCACAUCUUGACGGUACCUAAUCAGAAAGCCCCGGCUAACUACGUG
rnacentral:rRNA from 1 species